rnacentral:rRNA from 1 species
AAUUGCUAGUAAUCGCGAAUCAGAAUGUCGCGGUGAAUACGUUCCCGGGCCUUGUACACACCGCCCGUCACACCAUGAGAGUCGAUAACACCCGAAGCCUGUGAGCUAACCUUUUAGGAGGCAGCAGUCGAAGGUGGGGUUGAUGAUUGGGGUGAAGUCGUAACAAGGUAGC